UCGCGCGGGUCGAGAUCACCGCGAAGUCGAUAAUCAUUGGUAAAAAUUUGUUCGUCCUUGCUUAGCCGCGAACGCACCCGGCCUCUACUCACGUCCACACAAAAUCAUGCCCUUGAUCGAAUUUAGACGGCCGCUUCAAUCCGUGAUCCGAUCACGAAUUAACCCUUGCGUCGACUUGAGGAAGAUGAAUCAAUCUUCUAGAUGUGCUAGCAACUUUUGAAGAUCAAAACCGAUGGAUUUAUUAUGGAGGACUUAAGGAAGAAAAAGGAUUGACGGCUAGGGUUUUCUUUUUCUUUUUGCUUAAUUUUCCGUUAAUUGUAAUAUGUCAUAUGACAUAUAUUUAUAAUGAGAAAAUCUUAAGCCUAAUACUAAUCGAAAUCCUAAUAAGAUUGGAUUAUCCAUUAACCCACAAGUUGGUUAUAUUAAUAUUAACCGAAUCAUUUUCCUAAUUCGAUUCGUGUGUAACAUUUAAAUAUAAGUUCUCAUAUUAUUUACUAACAAUUAGCAAAUAUACCGUACCGUGAUUUCCUAAUCUAUAAGAAUUGUACAUGUCUUUCGCUGGAACGCUUUAGAAUCCGAAAUUCUUUCCAAAUUUCGGAAUUCCACACGGCAAUGCCGAGAUACAGUUUUCUCCACCAUUUUCUGUUUAUCGUCCAAAUUAACUUCGGGUAUUACACGCAUAUAUAAGCAUGCUUCUAAUAAAAAUUUUAUAAAUUUAAAUUUCCAAGAACACUCACAACCGACCUCCAUUUCUUAAUAGGUCCCUCAUCAAUGGCCGCCAUGCACGUCGUAGUCACUUGCCCAGCUAAUCUAUUAGACCAAGUUCAUUAUUAUUAAUUAUGAACGAAGAAAACAAUAUUAUAUGUUUUAAUUAUUGACAUGUUCCAAUUAGUCCCAUCUCAACUAUAUACAUAUACACGGGGAAUCGGACAGUUUCUCCAGCUUCACCCAACAAUCGUUAACGUGAGAGAAAAAUCGAAAAUGUUCGCCUGGAAACAAUCUCCCUCUUGCAUCGCUCUCCUCGCCCUUCCUUUAGCUUUGUUUGCCCUAGCAACCGUCGUCUUCUACCCUCGCGAUUUCGGCCUCCCGUCGACCUUCACCUCCUGCGGCAGCUCAUCAUCUUCGGCCGGCGGCAUCUCCGCUGCCCCCGUACAGCCUGAAUUUCGGCUCCUCGUUGGCAUCAUAACCCGCCCGGAGUACUAUGAGCGCCGGCACCUCCUCCGCAUGGUCUACAGCCUUCAGCAGUCCGACAACAACUUCGCCGCCCAUGUCGACGUCCGCUUCGUCUUCUGCAACCUCUCGACCGAGGAGCAGGCGGUCUUUGUCGCCCUCGAAAUCAUGUGCUAUGACGAUAUCAUCAUCCUCAACUGCACCGAGAACAUGGACAACGGCAAGACCUACAAUUACUUCUCCAGCCUCCCGACGCUAUUGGACGGCGACGCCAAGUACGACUACGUCAUGAAGACGGACGACGAUGCGUUCUUCCGGCUGCCCAGCCUGAUUGAAUCGUUGAGGGACAAACCUAGGAGCGAUGUGUACUACGGGCUCCAGAUGCCAUGCGACAAGGAGAACUUCUUCCCCUUCCCGCCGUUCAUGUCGGGGAUGGGGUACAUCUUGUCGUGGGACCUGGUGGAGUGGAUCGCCACAUCCGAGACGGCGCGGGAGGAUACCACCGGGCCGGAGGAUAUGUGGACGGGGAGGUGGCUGAACAUGGCGGGCCGGGCCAGCAACAGGUUCGACAACGCCCCGGCCAUGUACGACUACCGAGGCACGUCGCCGGCCACAUGCUUCCGCCACGACUUCGUGCCGGAGACCAUCGCCGUGCACCAUCUCAUAGACAACGCCAGAUGGACGGACGCGUUGACCUACUUCAAUUUCACAAAGGGGCUCAAGUCUUCUAAGCAAUACCACAUUCCCUGAUUUUUUUUCUUUCGAAGAAAAAAAAUUCAGGAUAUAUAUACAUAUAUAAUAAUUCUUUUAUGGGUAUAUAUACUUGAUAGUGUCGAUUUGUGAGAUGUGCAUACAUGCGUGUUUUUGAACUAAAUGACGAGUCUAUCCCAAGCGGUAGGUGAAGGUCCAUUCCAGUUCCCUGAAGAUAAAUAUUAUUAUUUGAUUUGUUCAAAGUAUAUGCAUCUAACUCCAUUAAUAUAAAUAUAGCAUCUGCAAUUAGGAAUGGUAUUAUAUGGAGAAGGUCAACUUUGUACGUCCCAGUCCGUUGGAUAGAAAACUAAACCAACAGGUUGAUUUGCGAGCUACCCCUGGCCAACCGCCAAAAAUUAAGAAGAAGGCAGAGAGGCCACGCAGCCCACCCUUUUGAAUGUUGCACGGGAGCCGCGUCGGUGUCCGACCGGUGUUGGACGCGGGACUUGCGGUCUUCUAAUUUGUAAAAAGUUAAUGUGUAAAAUUUAAAAUUUUUAUGUAUAACUUUUAAUAUUAUAAAAUACAUUUAAUAAACUAGUAGGGACGUGUUUGGUUCGAAAUCGGAAUCGGAAUCGGAAUCGGAAUCAAAAUAAGUUGAAAUCGGAAUCGGAAUGACUCAUUACCUAAUUCUGUUUGGUUCAUCAUCUGAAUCGGAAUCGGAAUAAAUUAUUCCCAUUAUCAGUGUUUGGUUCAGGUGGAUAUAAAAAACGUAAUCAAAUUAAUAUACUAACAUUAUCUUUAUAAUAUAUUAAUUUAAAUNUGAUAGGCUUCUAGGGCAUACAACUAACAAUCUCCCACUUGCACUAAAGCCAAUUAGCCAUGUAUCUAAUGCCUAUCUUCUCAAGAUGAUUCUCAAGUUUCUGCCGAGUCAAUGCCUUAGUUUGCGGGUCCGCCACAUUAUCCGCGGAGGCAAACUUCUGUACUAAUCUCUUGUUUGAAACUUUUCCAAACUAUUGACCCACUAUUACAAAUAAACAGAUACCCAGACGUAGACUUUCUAUCAUCUAUAUCGGAUAUAAAGUCCGAAUCCGCAUNCAAAUAAACAGAUACCCAGACGUAGACUUUCUAUCAUCUAUAUCGGAUAUAAAGUCCGAAUCCGCAUAGCCAUUAUUUCUGAGUUCUCCUCCUCCAAAAAUUAAGAACAUAUCCUUUGUUCUUCUCAAGUACUUAAGGAUAUUCUUUACCGCCACCCAGUGUUCCUCUCCUGGAUUCGACUGAUAUCGACUAGUGACACUCAUAGCCUGUGCUAUAUCAGGUUGAGUACAUAGCAUCGCAUACAUUAAGCUCUCUAUCGCUGAAGCAUAAGGGAUCCUACCCAUGCGACUUCUCUCUUCAGGUGUCUUAGGAGACAUAGUCUUAGAGAGGUGAAUUCCAUGUCUUAAAGGUACCAUACCUCUUUUGGAAUUUUCCAUGCUGAACCUUUUCAACACUUCUUCUAUGUACAUAGCUUGCGAUAAACCAAGCAACUUCUUAGGUCUAUCCCUAUAGACCUUUAUCUCUAGGAUAUAAGAUACUUCUCCAAGGUUUUUCAUUGAAAACACUUUAAAUAACCAUAAUUUGACCGAUGUUAGCAUAGGAAUAUCAUUCCCAAUCAGGAGUAUGUCAUUCACGUACAGUAUGAGAAAAGUAACAUCACUCCCACUAAUCUUUUUAUAUACACAUGGCUCCUCCUCACUUCUGAUGAAAUUGAACGAUUCGAUUGCAUCGUUGAAACGAGUGUUCCAACUCCGAAAAGCUUGCUUUAAUCCGUAAAUGGAUCGUUGAAGCUUGCACACCUUAUGACUCCUAUCUUUGAAAGUGAAACCCAAAGGCUGCUCCAUAUAGAUAUCUUCUUCAAGAUAUCCAUUUAGGAAAGCAGUUUUCACAUCCAUUUGCCAGAUCUUAUAGUCAUAGUGUGCAGCAAUAGCAAGCAGAGUUCUGAUAGACUUAAGCAUAGCUACAGGUGAAAAGGUAUCCUGAUAGUCAAUGCCUUCACGUUGACUAUAACCUUUCGCUACUAGCCUAGCUUUAUAGGUCUCUACCUUUUCAUCAGAACCAAUCUUUCUCUUGAAGAUCCAUUUACAUCCAAUGGGUACAAUACCCUCCGGUGGAUCAACCAAAGUCCAUACUUGAUUGGAGUACAUUGAGUCCAUUUCGGACUUCAUAGCUUCCAACCAUUUAUUGGAGUCGAUGUCUGGCAUCGCCUCGCUAUAAGUCUUAGGAUCAUCUCUAUGGUCCUUAUCUCCCAUUAGGAACAUUUCCUUCAUAUCCUCUAUAAAUAAUCCCAUGUAUCUAUCAAGAGGACGGAAAACCCUACUAGACUUGCGAUAUGGCGGUGUAAUCUCUGGUGUCACAGAGUUAUCAGGAAGGGCUCUUGGAAUAUUCGAUCCUAAAGAGACUUUCUCCUCUAGUUCUAUUUUUUUCCCACUGCCCCCAGUGAAAAUAAAUUCACUUUCAAGGAAGAAGGCAUGACGGCUCACAAUCACAUUAUGGCCUUCUGGGAGAUAAAAAUAGUAUCCAAGUGAUUCUUUGGGAUACCCAAUGAAUCUACCCUUGACUGAUCUGCUUUCCAACUUGUCCGUCUUUAAUUUCUUAAUAUAAGCUGGACACUCCAAGUUUUAAUAUUAGUAAAACUUGGCUUCCUACCAUGCCACAUCUCAUAUGGUGUGGUCGGAAUAGAUUUGGAAGGCACUCUGUUCAAAAUAUAAAUAGCCGUGAGAAGUGCGUAACCCCAAAAUGACAUAGGUAAAUCCGUAAAGCUCAUCAUAGAUCGAACCAUAUCCAAUAAAGUUCGAUUACUCCAUUCAAUUCUGGUGUUCUAGGAGGAGUCCAUUGGGAGACAAUACCAUUAUCCUUGAGGUAGGUUAGGAAAUCCGUACUAAGGUAUUCCCCUCCUCGAUCUGAUUGAAGAGCCUUAAUUGGUUUUUCCAUUUGCUUUUCUACUUCUUGUCUAAACUCUUUAAACUUUUCAAAGGCUUCAGACUUGUGCUUAAUUAAGUACACGUACCCAUACCGUGAAUAAUCAUCAGUAAAGGAAAUAAAGUAGAGAUAGCCAUCCCAAGUAGACACAUCGAAUGGUCCACAUACAUCAGUAUGUAUUAGGGCGAGUACUUCAGUAGCUCUCUCUCCUUGUCCAACAAAGGGAGACUUAGUCAUUUUUGCUUGAAGACAUGAUUCACAAGCUGGGUAUGAGAUUCACAAGCUGGGUAUGAUUCAAAGGGUAAGGACCCUAAGACACCAUUCUUAGCCAACUUGUUAAUUCUAUCCUCUCCAAUGUGACCAAGUCUAAGAUGCCACAAGUACGUUUUAUUUACCUCCUCUCUUGGUCUUUUGAUAUUCUCAUUCAUGCCAUUAUCAACUGUAUUAACACUAACAUCCAUAUGUAAGUGAUAGAGAUUGUCAAUUAAAGAACCAUAACCGAUCAAAUUAUUUCUCAAAUAAAUUGAACAAACGUUUGAUUCAAAAAUAAACUUAUAACCGUCCAAUACCAAACGUGAAAUAGAAAUAAGGUUUCUAGUCGCACUAGGAACAUAAAGACAAUCUCUAAGUUCUAAAACUACUCCUGUCGGUAGACAUAAAGGAUAAGUCCCCACGGCAACAGCAGCAACUCUUGCCCCGUUUCUAACGCGUAGGGUAAGCUCUCCAUCCCUAAGUCUUCUACUUUGUUUUAGCUCUUGCAUUGAAAUACAUAAAUGUGAGGUACAUCCAGAGUCAAUGACCCAUGUAAAAGUAGAACAAACCGAUAAGUUAGUAGUUUCAAUGACAUGAAUCUCGGACAUCUUAGCCCUGAACAGUCGCUUCGACACCUCGCAGCGAGCUGUUCAGCUUUCCUCAUCAUACAACUCCUUGAGAUGAAGUAAAACAUCAGCAGCACUCUCCAUGUGCUCAUGCUCGCGUUGCGACUCAUUGCUCAUAGACGCAAGCAUGUAGCAUUUUGCUUUCAUAUCAUCAUCAGUUCAUUUAUUUCUUGCAACUCUUUGCUGAGCUGUUGGAUUUUCGGGCACCGCUGGAGCCUCCGUAUCCAACACAUAGGCUAAUUUUUCAGAAUUGAGAAUAAUUCUCAAAUUCCUGAGCCAAUCGGUGAAAUUCGGUCCAGUUAAGCGAUUAGUAUCAAGUAUUUUGGCAAGUGGGUUAGAUGCAGCCAUUUUCUGCAAAAGGUUAAGAUUCUAAUUAGUUGUGUACUUAAUCACAAUCCAUUUGAUUAGGGUCUUUAAAUCUAAAUGGUGCCUCCCACUAAUUUUGGUGAAUCUCCACACUCCCCAAGCGGAGAAAAUAGAAACUUUACUUAAAAGUUUCUAGUGGGGAUUGCGGUCCCAUUUGUUUACACACCACCUCAUCCUGACAGAUUCUUGGCAAUGAGCAAACAAAUAAGUGAACAACUCUUGUUCAAUGCUUCUCAAGCAAAUUGCAAUCUAAUCUUUGGCCUCCAUAAGAUAUAGGCCUCAUCCUGACAGAUUCUUGGCUUUAUUUCAUGGUUAAGUUAGACCCACCGUUCAUCGUGCAAAUAAGAAUGUCAUUGAAUCCUCAUCCUGACAGAUUCUUGGAUCCAACCCCUUUCUUACCGCACAGCAUCUCAUGCCAAUAGAAUGGUUGCGGCUCCCCAAUGCAACUGACCCCCGUAUCCGGGUGCAUCAAUCAACACUAAAGAGACGCCCACACCCUACAACGGUGGAAGGCCACUAAUGGGUUCAUAACACCAUUAACUUAAUAUUUUAUUUAGGGAGAUUAGUUGUCUCAUCAGUUUUAAUUUAUUAUUAAUUUACAUCUCAUGCAAACCAUCACAUCACAUGCAUACAUUCAUCGCAUAUAUAAAAAUAACUACCGGUGAUGAUCAUGGAUUUUAUCUUGAUUCGGGCCUGAGCCACUAGGCCGGAAUGGGGUCAUAAGGGUAUUACACACAAGAAAACCUUCUCUUAUUCUGCGUCUCGAUCGGAUUUGAGUUGAUCAACUCUUGUCUUCUCCCUUGAUCAGCAUCUGGUCCAAACUUGAUCCGCAUCGCAUCAACUCUUGAAUGCAACGAAUCCCUCUGGAACCUAAACUACCCUUUUCCCUUAUUAAUUUUAUAACAAUAACUUUACGACCCAUAAAAUUAAUGAGACACGCAGGUCUCCAAAUUACAUAAUUUAAUUGGCACGCGCAGGCACCCAAAAAAAAUAUAAUCUAAUACUGGAUCAUUUUUAAAUUACAACAAUUCACACAAUCACAUGAUACAUGCACAUCACAAGGUCGCUAUCCAUGAUCAUCACCUCAUAUACAUCACAUGCAUAUAAUAUUAAAUUCUCUAACUCGAAUUCUAAUUAAUUGGGUUUCGGAUUAAUUUUAAAAACAAAUCUUUAUUUGUUUCAAGAAUCGUAAUUUGUCGUAAAAAUAUCAAAAAGAUUUAAUACAUCUCAUGCAUUAAAAAUACAAAAUUAUAAAUCAAUUUUAAAAUAGAUUCAAUGUCACAUUACGGCUAUCGCGCCGUAUGACGCACCGCACGCGAUCAUACACGACACGCCUCAUGUGAAUGCGGCUUGCAUUGCAUACCUUAUGCUUUCAAGAUAUAAAGAAGCCAUUGAAUUUAAUUAACAUGGCCGUGCAUACCUUGUUAAUUAACUUUCAACGACAUGUAAGUCUUCAUUCCAAUGAAUUAGCAUGUAUGCAUGUGGUCACGAGUUGACCAAAGUACAUGCUAUUCACACCAUGCAUGCAACCCACUCGAUGCAUGCACAAGUGCCGCUUGCGCAUGACGUGCCGCAACUUGUUUGCGCACCGGUUUUAAAAAAAUUUAGCGAUUUCGGUUAAUUUAAAAUUAUAUUAUCAAAAUAAACGGUGACAUAAAAUUAUAUUUUACGUGCGAUCUAAUCAAUGUUUCGAAACAAUCAAAUAUUGUUCGAAAAACAAUCUUCAUUGGUUUGAUUUUGAUCGUUCCGAAAAAUCCAAUUAACAUCGAAAAAGAGAUUAGAUCUAAAAGAAACAACGAGGGUGUCUCUGAUACCACUGUAAGAAAAUCAUGUGUACGCAGCGGAAGAAAAUAACACAAUUAAAAAUUUUCUUGAAAACCAAAUAUCACCUCGUGUUUCGUUUUAGAUCAUUAAUAAUAGAUCUAAUUGAUCUAAUCAAAUAGGAUCUAUAUUUUAUUAUAUUUUACCUCGCACAGGUUGAGAUCACCGCGAAGUCGACAAUCGUUGGUAAAAAUUUGUUCGUCCUCGCUUAGCCGCGAACGCACCCGGCCUCUACUCGCGUCCACACGAAAUCACGCCCUUGAUCGAAUUUAGACGGCCGCUUCAAUCCGUGAUCCGAUCACGAAUUAACCCUUGCGUCGACUUGAGGAAGAUGAAUCAAUCUUCUAGAUAUGCUAGCAACUUUUGAAGAUCGAAACCGAUGGAUUUAUUGUGGAGGACUUAAGGAAGAAAAAUGAUUGACGGCUAGGGUUUUCUUUUUCUUUUUGCUUAAUUUUCCGUUAAUUGUAAUAUGUCAUAUGACAUAUAUUUAUAAUAAGAAAACCCUAACAUAAUCCUAAUCCUAAUCGAAAUCCUAUUCCGAUUUGAUUAUCCAUUAACCCGUAAGUUGGUUAUGAUAUUAACCGAAUUCCGAAUCCUAAUUCUAAUUUGAUUCGUGUGUAACGUUUACACAUAAUUCCUCAUAUUAUUUACUAACGAUUAGUAAAUACACCAUGCAACUUUUACACAUAAAUACCUCUAAUUUACAACAAUUGCAAAUUAGUCCUUUUACUAAUAAAUUAGUAAACUUUAGUAUUUAACUAUAUUAUAAUUGUAAUUAAUCUAUCCGAUAAACUUUUUUUAUUGUCUCCUAAAUAUCGAUCAUGCGCAAUUUCUUAUGUGUGUGACCUAAUAGGUUCAAUUCUGUCUGAUAGUGAGAUAUGAUGAGAUCUCCAUCUACAUCAUCAUCGAAACUCUUUUCGAUGGCUCAAACUCUUUUGAUUCCACCCUUAUAAAAUAAUUAAUUAUCUAUAAUUAUUUCUAUUGGUUCCCACAAUCCACCAGUGACGCCUAGCAGCAUGUAGUGGCAAUCCAGUCAGAAGUGAAUAUCGGAUUGAACCUCUAGGUGCAGUUACCGUACAAUACAAUCCUUCUAUCGCAUAGUUCCAACUGAGUGGAGGUCAUGGAAUAUUCGUCAAACCCCAUCACCCGUCAUAUGACAAAUUUGAUCAGACAGAAGCUCUUAUGGUUACUCUUGGAAACAUCUUUCCAUAUAUUAUAUUACCCCGGCCGAGGAUUUCUGAGCUUUGCCGUACAAAUAGCAUAGAACUAAUUAUCUCUCUACCGAGAGCGAUAGAUCCCCUAUAAACACACACCCAUUCCUGAUAUGAACCGACUGCUGCCAACAUAUACUACUAAGACCCAUGGCUAGGAUCAGAGUUUGUUGCAUAGUCAAACUACAGUAGCCUCAUAUUGAAUAGCCGUGGUGUCACAGGUCUAAGAAUCAGUUGUACCACUGCAACAUCGAACCAGUUAUUGACGAAUGAGUAGACAUCCAUGUAACUGUUCGUAGUUGGUCACGCUCAGUACCCUUGUUCUCCAAUAACCACCUGCAUGUUCGCUCCAGUGUCCCCACACUGAUGACUCGAGAUUCGUCAUCCUAAAAGGGAAGCGGCACACACAUCAAUCUUACAGGGUCAAUCAUCGCCCCCAUGAUGAUCCUCCGAUUGAGAGCAUUUAUGAAUUAAUCACCAAUAAUAUGUAUC
rnacentral:lncRNA from 1 species